ensembl:lncRNA
CCGGUUCCAGGGACUGGCAUGGCUCCAGGCUCUGGUGCCAGAGGGGUAACUGAAGAACAAACGAGGAAGGGACUGUGCCAGGAGCCUGGGCUUAGCAGCUCCCUCCGGAGGGCACCCAGGGAUGCCUGCGAGUGUCCAGGAGGCUGGUGACUUGCCAAGGCUGGGCGGGCCUGCUGGAGAGGAGGGAGGGCGCGGCGGGGGAAGAGACUUGGGAACCAGGCAACUCGGAGGCGGGGCGAGGGGUCUGGCCUGGGGCGUCUGCAGGGGCGGGGACCGACCCCCAGGGUCGCGGACCAACCCCCAGGGUCGCAGCGCAGCCCACCUCCCCCGCCCGCGGGCGCCAGGGCCUGGCUGAACCAUCGAGCGGCUGGGCAGGGGGAGCGGCGGCCAAAGCGGCGCCAGGCAGUGGGCCCUGGAGACCGCAGCGCACGGCGUGGCGCUGGUUUUCUUCCGCCACGACUCAAAGCGAGGUGGCGUAAAGGUCGAGGAGGCGCCAGGGGCUGGGUGGUGGCGCGGCUCCGGAGCCUGACUCCGACACCCCCGCGCCCCGUGGUAGGAGCCAGGACCCAAACAAAGGAGGGCGGCGAAUAAAAGGCGGUGGAGGCGCGGAAUGUUCGGGUUGCGAGCUGGGGACCGGGAUCGGCGCGCAGCUUUUCGCGGUCUGCUUGCCCAGGAGCGGAGCGGGGAGCCCUGGCCUUCUGGGGGCUCCGAGGAGCUUCUCACUGCAACUCCCGCGAGGAGACGAGUCUGCGCAGCGGGGUGGCCGCCGACCCCGACCCUCCGCGCACACCCUCUAGCGCCGGCGGCUCAGCCCAGCCCCGUUCCGCUGGUUGAGAAACUGAGUUGAAAGAAGAACAGUCCCAGCAUGGUGUUGCAGAAGGAGCACUGGACUGGAAGUGAAGGGACCUGGAUCCUAGUCCAAGUUUGACCACAGACUCCCAAUUUGCCCUUAGGCAAACUACUGCCCUUCUCUGAGCUUCAGGCUUCCCAUCUAUUAAAGGACUGGCUGAGGUGACCUGCAGGGUCCUAAUGAUCUGGAACAUUGACUCUCUAGUGAGUCUCUUCAGUGUGGGUGGGAUUGAAAAUUGUAUUUCUAACCCCUAAAAUGAUCCUGCCUUUCCCCUUCCAUAGAGCACCCACCACUAGUAAAGUGUUGCUGUUCCCUGAGUGAGGGAUGUUAGGAUGAUUCAUUUCAUAGGACCAGAGAUGCCAAGUAAUUUUCUUGAGGUCGUACUGCUGACAUGCAGUCUUUAUUGGGGCGGGCAUUACUUCUACUGUCUGUAUAUCAUCUGCAUACACCACCGGUUCUGCUGGUAGAUAUGUGAUGAAUGAAUGAGUGAAUAAUCAAAUGAAUGAAUAGAAGACUUAAACCUGGAUCUCCUGAUCUCCUGGUCCUUGAAUGUUUUAAACCCAUUUCUCUGCUAGUGUAGACAUACUUCCCUUGUCUCCCCAUCCUCCCCACCCCCUAAUCCCCUAGUCAUCAAAGGCAAAUGGAAUUGCCCCAGUUAAGGUUCUUCCUCCCAAGUGGCAGAUGCUGGGCUUGUUGUAAAUGGCCACAGAGAAGGGACCAGCUGAGAGCAGCUUUAGAGGUCCUGCCCAGUCAGUAGCACUUUGCAAUCAGCCUCAUGAACUUAGACCCAACCACAGACUGCCCAUGGGCAGUUGGUUGCUGGCCAGGCUCUGAUGCCAAGAGGAAAGACAGCCAUGACUACCAUGUGGCUGAGCAGCCUCUUUU